AAACGCCAUAAGUAACAUAUAGUUUACGUCAUGUAUUCUGUAGAUUUUCAGUACUGGCAGUAAUGUCGAAGCACAGUCGCUGAUGGCAUACCGCGGGAAUAUACCUUACUUGGUAUUGUGAGACUGUGUGAGACAAAGGGUUGAUCGAUGUACUCUUUAUUCUCUAAUGGCAGCAAAGAAAAAUUCUGGGCUUUAUACAGAUAAAUGAUAGACUUUGAUAGGUGAAAAGAUCCAGAGAUAAAAAAUGGGAGCGAGGGAGAAUUGAGGAUGAGCGAAGAGAAUGCAACGCAGAUUCAAUUAAAUAAAUCGUUUUCAUGAACCACGUUCAAUUUUCAUCGAUGAUGAUACAUGCGGGAUACGAGAGUAAGAGGCUACUCAUCAACGGUGAACGGAUGAAACAUGCGGAGAUUGCAUUUCCUUAACAAGGUGCUCGCUCGCGUGCGCGUGCAUUAUCUCGUUACCUCGUCACGCACGAAAAGUGUUGUUACUUUCUAAUGCACCGUGCGCAUCGGACCUAAGCGGUGCUAAUGUUCGCCACAGCUAUAAUAUUACUCGUUAAUUAGCUGAAUGACGGGAACCGAUAAAAGAGUUGAUAUGAGAGAACAGAUGCGGUAAGGAUCACUUAAUAUCAUGUUGCACAUUCGACGCACAAUGUAAUUAACGGUGAUAAUGAUCGGAAACAUAUUUCGUACAUAGGAUUUCUUCGACCCGUGACAUUUAUCUUAACGGCUAAUCGUUCAAUUAUCGAUUUUUAUCUCUCGAUGAAAAAAAUCUUUAUAUAUGUAUACGAAUCUUCUUUUCUUAUUAUACACAUGUAUAUUGCGAGCAUUUUAAAAGAUUUUAACAUGUUUUGAUUGAAGAAUACUCUGUUUCAUAUUCUUUAUCUUUUUCUAUCAAAUGUAUAAUUGAAAUUUUUGUAUAAAAAAAUUUGUUUGUAUUAAAGUUAUAUCGACUAUUUUAUCCUAGAAUAUAAAUCAAUGCUUAUAUAUCAUAAUCUCUCUAUUUCAAACGAGUCGAUAUAACGAGAAUACUGCUUGCUGGAUUCAGCGACCUAUUUCCGAAUCAGCCCGUAUAUCUGCAAUAUAGUUAAUGAUAGUUGAAAAUUUCACUUCCUCGAUGUAGAACCAUGCGCGACGACGACGACGACGACGAAUGCAACGGAUGACGGCAUUACGGGGCUAAUUCGAUUGUAAUCGGCACACAGUGAUCUCGAUACUCAUCUACGAUGUAAUCGACGACAGUUCUCCCCAUCGUCGUCAUCGUUGGCAGUGAUUGUGCUAGAAACUUCAAGGAGAAACACUUUCACUGUCAGACGUCGAAUCGGUCGAUUGCAGGCUUUUACGCAAUGCGACGACGACAAAUGUCGAGAGUCGCUGGGCUAUCAAGUUAACGGUUCUCAGUUACAUUACAUCAGCCCUUUGAUGUUGUUUCGAUGAUUCAGAACACUCGCGAAAUCAUUUUACUCAAUAAGGAUGCAGAGAUUCUUUUAGAAAAAAAUUCUGAUUGAUUAUAGAAAAAAAAUAGAAUUAUGAGAAAUAUGUAUAAAAAAGUAAUUUAUUAAUGUUCGGUAAAAUAAAAAUUAAUAAGAGCUCGGACGAAGAAAUCCUUUUUAAAAAAAUAAUUUAUUAAUGUUCAGUAAAAUAUAAUAAAAGCUCGGAUGAUUUCGAUACAGAAGCCUCGAAUAGAAAGUUCAUAACUCGGAAAAAAAAUUAUUCUUGAUUGCUAUUUACUUAUGACUCAUGUUGCCGCGAUACUUCUUACUGUCUCAUGUCUGUGUGCAAUAUUCAUGACGAAAACGAGAGCCAAUAUAGGAUUACGCAUCUUGCAAAGACGUCAGAAUGUCUAGUCAUAUAUAUAACCCUCCGUCUCGCGAGUGAGCGAGUGUUAUUCACGAAAUUUAAAUAAUGACGUGCUUGUUACCAUUUUCUCAUUGCCAUCGACAUACUGAUUGGAGCUUCGACUUAAUCGGUGUUUACUGCACCGCUAAUUUAUAUAGUUUCGCUUUACUCGUUUCAUUAGUCAGCCUGAAAUAGUAAACAAGGACACUUAAAGAAGCAACAGAGCGCAGAGAGAUCUUAAAUCUACUAAAUAUUUAUAAAUCAAAAUUUUAAAACAGAAUUAAAUGAAUUAAAUGAAAUUAAAUGAAUAAAUAAUUAAAGCUUAUCAAUAAUUGCAGAAAAGAGUUACUGUGAGAAUUUUCUAACAGACUUUCACCGGAACUUGCAAGAAGCGUAACGAUUCUUGAAACUCGUAUAUAUGGAAUUACAGAUUUCUCGUCGCAUAAGCGUUAUUUAAAAAAAAUAUCAAAAUUGCAAAAAUGUCUACAUUUUUUAUCAAAAUAUCAAAACGUCGAUUUCUUUCGCGUAGAUUCCAUGUCCCCUUAAAUGAAUCUCGGCGAUCAAGAAAUUAAUAGAAUAAAGAAGAAAAGAGAAAAGUUGUAAUUUAUAAUGAUAUAGAACCACACGAUUCUCUCAACAAUUUUUUUUCGAAAGUCUCGCGAUGCAGGCGAACGUGGCGAUCUUUCUCUGAUUUCAUGAUAUUUGAUUCCGCCUGCACUUUCAUCGCGCGUACCAGUUGUCAUUUCUGUGAAUAAACAAGGUUGUUAGUUUUCACGGGCGUUUCGCUUUCAAAUAGGAGAUAUUUUAUGCGGUAAACGUAAGGAAAUUAACGCACGCAAAUUUCACUUUUAAGUAUAAUUUUUUUACCUAACAGCAUCCAACAAAGAUCCGUGUAUGUACAUAAGAACGUAUGAAAGGUCCAUUGUUAUCUUUUUAUGCGCUAAAGGAGUGUCGAAAGUGUCGAGACUUACUCGUGUUACAUAUUCAAUACAGAACUUUGCUUCGCGCACAUCUGUAACCUUCUAAGAUGUGACCAAUGGCGAGAUCUAUCUUUCUUGUAAGUUUCCACACCCAGUACGAUGCUGCCUUCGCUACAAUUCGAGUAACGAGGUCGCAUAAUUUUCUCCGUCGUAGUGAGUAAUACAAUUAUUCAUGGAAAUCCAGGGUCUUUAGUAACAAAUAGGAAAGAAUAAAUACACGGUAAUUAAAGAUCGAUUCAAGGAAUAAAUCGCAUUUACACGAAUAUCAAGGAUUUUCGCCCUCAAAUUAUAUGAUUUAUGAUUGUAAGAUAUUGCAAAGUCUCGCAUCAAAAGGACAAUUUCCAUCAAAUAAUAAAAUUAAUGAAGAUGUUUGUAAAACAUCAAUCUUUAAUUAAUUGCGAGGCAAUAUUAAUUUGAAAUGCAAUGCAUAAUUAAGAUUCUAACUAAAUGUAAAUAAAUGCCUCGCAGCUAUCAUAUAAAAUGUAAACAUCUAGCGGUAGAUCACAAUUUGAAUCAUAUUAAAUAUAAUUUUAUAAAAUUGCAAUAUUGACAUCGCUUUUUUAUGACGUUAUUUAUUAUAUUUUUAAAAUAUUUAUUUAAAAAAUAAUUUUUUAAAGACCAUCUUUUCCAACGAUACGACUCGUAUUGAGAAAGAGAAACGCGCGUUACUGCACCCUACAAACCGUAUAAAGAAGAAAGUGAUAUCGGGAAAGGGAGAAGAAACGGGACAAAACUGGUAUCGGCAAGGGGAUCAUAAGGUAAUGGUUACGGCAAGAAACUUUCACGCGGUCUCGCGAUCUUGAUGCCGAGAAUAAUGUGUGAUUCCUAUAUUUUUCUCGAUUUGUCCAUGAGAUAUCGCGCCGUCAAUAUUAUAUUCUGUGAAUCAGGAACCGCGCCCGAUAUAAAAAAAGUGCCGAGAGUCACGCGGAUCAAAGAUACGCAUGGAUGAAUACUAAGAAAACAAUUAUUACAGAAUAAAAAAAAAAGUGUUAUAUUUACCGCAAGGUCAGUGCGAGAGAAAACGUGCGAAGAAUAGGCAAGGAUUUAUAGGAUGUUAUCUAAGAAUCUACGAGAUUGCGCGCGAAUGAUAUUAGCGAUACUUUGGGAUAUCAUCGAGAUUCCGUGACAGUGGUUCAACACGCGUGACAAGACAUCGUAAGAAAGUUGAGUAUCUUUCAGGGACCGGUUGAAAAUAACGACAAUCGUCCCACUUGUUGAUGGCAUGUAUGCACUGUUCUUUGAAUUCGGCCAGACACUUAGCAGUGAUUCUCAACUAAUGUUCCGCGAGAACAUUUUUUCUCAAGUAUAAAUAAAUUUUUACUCACGCUUUGAAGAAAAGAAUCAUAUUGCUAAUUUUUCUCGCUCUUAUGUAAACAUCGUACAAUUUUUAUUAUUUUUAUAUGAUAUUAAUUUAUUUUGAAAACGCGCUAAUAAGUUUGAUAAAAUAUCUUGUUUAAUAGAUCUUAAUUAAUAAAUGAUAGAAUUAACUUGUAAAUAAUUCGUUUUACAAAACACAUCUCAAAGAAUUUUUUGCGGUAACAAUUAACGUACUAUUUAUAAUUGCCCGCAUGUUCAACGCAAAUUAUAAUGUCAUAAAUAUAUCUUGUACAAUUAUCAAAUAAUAUUAAUACCUAAUUAUUUUCUGUCAUUAUUUUAACAGAUUAAAAUAUUUCACGAUAAAAAUAAUCUUUUGCGAAAUAAUAUUCUUUUGAAGCUGCUAUCUUUCUGGACACACAGAGAAAAGAAACAUUAUAGUACUUAUAAUGUAAUCAUUAUUUUAUCGAUAAUUGAAUGCGACUUGUAACUAUUCUGAUCAUUUUAUCAUUUAAUUGAAAUUUAUUUAGGAGAUUUUACAAGAUAAAAUUUGAAAUACUAGAAUUAUUAGAAAGAAAGAAAUUUGUAUACAUGAUGGCUUCCUUUCUUCUUUGUUUUACGGAUUGAGAAUUUACGAAGA